UACGGAGGGUGCAAGCGUUAUCCGGAAUCACUGGGUUUAAAGGGUGCGUAGGCGGCUAAAUAAGUCAGAGGUGAAAGCUUGCAGCUUAACUGCGAAAUUGCCUUUGAUACUGUAUAGCUUGAAAGGAGCUGAGGUCAGCAGAAUGUGGCAUGUAGCGGUGAAAUGCAUAGAUAUGCCAUAGAAUACCAAUUGCGAAGGCAGCUGGCUGGGCCUGUCCUGACGCUGAGACGCGAAAGCGUAGGGAGCAAACAGG
rnacentral:rRNA from 1 species